rnacentral:rRNA from 1 species
GACGAACGCUGGCGGCGUGCCUAAUACAUGCAAGUCGAACGCUUCUUUCCUCCCGAGUGCCUGCACCCAAUUGGAAAGAGGAGUCGCGUACGGGAUAGUAACACGUGUGCAACUUCCUCAUCAGAGGCGGAUAACACCUGGCACUAGGAGCUAAUACCGCCUACCAGUUUAUGCCGCAUGGCUUAAGAGUUAAAGCCGCUUUCGGGUCCCGUUGCUGGUUGGCUCGUUGGUGCAUUAGCUAGUUGGUGAGGUAACGGCUCACCAAGGCGACGAUGCAUAGCCGACCUGAGAGGGUGAUCGGCCACACUGGGACUGAGACACGGCCCAGACUCCUACGGGAGGCAGCAGUAGGGAAUAUUCGGCAAUGGGCGAAAGUCUGACCGAGCAACGCCGCGUGAGUGAAGAAGGUUUUCGGAUCGUAAAGCUCUGUUGUUGGGAAAGAACAAGGACAUGAGUAAAUGAACGUCCUCUGACGGUAUCUAACCAGAAAGCCACGGCUAACUACGUG